UGCCUCGUUGAUGUAAUAAGGACAGGCACGACUCUUUUUGUGUUUGGACUCAGCAACGAGGCCACAGAAAACACAGGUUCAGCUUCCAUCAUUGUGAAAUAAACUACAUUGGUGACAAUGAGGCCUGUAAUAUCU